rnacentral:lncRNA from 1 species
UUACAGGUGCUAAUUACUCAACGAAAUCAAGAAAAUUAAAUUUUUUUUGGGUAAAUCCGUCAGCCCACCGAUAACCGGCCUUGUAGUAUAUGAGAGCAGUAGCAGCAACAGCGGGUCGUUUGCCUAACCAUUUACAAUGAACCAAAACACAAAAUUGAAUUAAAAAACGUAGUCCAGAUAAUUCCAAUAAUGCAAAAUAACUUCCUUAAUGGCUUCAUGUGGAUUUCAACUUCCUACGUACCCCCGUUGUCAAAACUCAUGCACAUGAGAUUAAGUGAAGGUGUAAAAAUCAAAUGGGAACUGGAAAAGUGAGUGCUUGCACCAUAACAUUCAUUAAAAUUGGGAAGUGAGUCGCCGACUGAAUAUGAAACUAUACAAAGCAAAGAGGUAACACAGAAAAGAUGGAAAAUUGCAUUAGCUAGCAGCCACUGAAAGGAUUCCAAUCACCCAAAAUGGCAUUUGUAAAGGCCCAAUGGGUUUGUCUUCCAUGGGGCUACUACAACACAGGUGAACUAUUAUUGUCGGAGGCCACCCCUGCAUCCCAAAUCAUUUUCCCUCACUACCAACAUCCUUUUUGUUGUGUCGUUGAUGUGUACCUGUCGUUUCACAUCAAACCUUCCUGGCUCCACAAUCGGAUAGAUUGGCACCAUCCAGCCGCAAUGGGAGAUCAUAAUUGGAUUCUUAUAUGCAUGAUUCUUCUUUUCAACUCUCAAGAAACUAACUGGAAUUAAUCAUAUAUCCAACCUAGAGUCAUGAAAAAAAUGAUUUUGAAACCUAUCGAGUUCAGCAAAAUGAUUUUGCGGAAUUGACUCGCCUUGGAAUCAACCCAGCAAAUAAGGGUCACAAAAUCAUUACAAAGAUAUGAUUUUAAUUCAGAUAACUGCACAGCUUCUAUCCCUAUAUCAAAACUGGUCGUAUUGCAGCAAAAUGCAGCCGUUUCAAGGCAGAAGAAUUUGUGAAAUACCUCAUGGGGAAAUGUAGAAAUGCUUUGUCGUUUCUCUUCCAGCAGCUCCGACCCUCGUACCCCUGAUCCGACCACCUUGUGGAUCGAUUUUGAGAAGGCCACUUGCGAAUCUGACAACAUAUAAGAAAAAUAAACUGUCACAUAGAUCAUCUCUUUUAGGAAAUUGUAGAAACUCAGUUCAAGCAAACAAACUGAUCAUUACCACAAGUUCACAGUACCUUUUUUUAACCAAGACAUACCACUCGGGUAGAAAUAUUUCUUUUACUUUUUUACUCAAGCAAACAAAGUGAUCUUAGAACCAGUUCACAGUACCUUUUUUGUAAAGCUAAACACACCACCAUCUGAACCUUCCCACUUUGAACUUCAACAAAGCCAAACCUGCAAACACAUACCAAAAAUACAUAUUAGUAAAUGAAAUAGAAUCGAUAGUUUCAUUUCCGCCACCAUAGAAGUAAGAGCGAGAGGAAAUCGCCAAAUUGUCGGCAUACUAUUGACAUUGAGAGACCAGUUGAGAGAGAAAGAGUAGAUAAUCAAAUGACAGUAGAGAAAGAAGCUGAGAAGAAAAGGUAGAGAUGAACGGAAUUUGCGGUCCUUCUCAUCAUUGGAGUGUAUGAAAAUAAAAUAGAGUGAAGGAGGGAGAAAGAGGCGAAGUGACUCGAUGAUUGAUUCUAGAAAGGAUACAGAUAGGAAGGUUAGAGGGUGAUAUUGAGAAACAAGAACAUGACAAUAUCAAUAAGAUCGAUUAGUCCACGGGAGAAGAUGAGAGAUUUUAUUGAGAGAGAAUGGCGGGCGUAUAUAGUCAGAUUUUUUGAAUCUGAUUUCAAAGCUAACACCAUAUAUUUAUACUAAACUUGUCAUGUACAAUUACAAUUUGAUACCUAUAAGAUUAACAACCUCCUUCAAAUUGAUGUUGGUCUCCUCAUAGUCAAUACCAAACUCCUGACGAAAACCAUGUGCUACUAGACAAGCUUUAUAGCGGUCGAUGGAACCAUCAAGAUUAUGUUUGAUUGUAAACACCCAACGACAGCCAAUAAUAGGAGUAUUUGCAGGGCGAGGAACAAUAUCCCAAUUGGGAUUUUCUUCAAGAUCCCAUAACUCUUCCUGCAUGGCGGCCACCCAACGAGGAUCAAGACACGCUUCCUUGUAUGUAAAGGGGAUAUCUGGAUCAUGAACAUCAUAAACCAAGUAAUCAUCAAAUCGACUAGGAAGAGAACCCAAGUUAGAGCGAUGAGAACAUCAAGGGGGUGCCAUUAUCCUGAGGACCACCAUUUUCCGCAAGGGAAGACGACGAGGAAGCAGUAUCACUACUAGUAAAAGAAUGUGACGAACUCAUGUUAGAAAGAGAUGGAGACAGAGAAAUGGAAGAGGAACCAGUGUGAGGUGGCGAUGGAGCACCGGGUAAAGGAGGACUAGCCGGAUCAGUUGGAGGAGCCAAAGAAGAUGACCAGUCAAACAUGUUGACAAAAAUAAAUGUGUCAAAGAAGAAUCUACAUCAGAUGUGUUCCAACAAUAAGGUGUUCCAAAAACACUAUGUGAUAUGCAAUACGCAUUCGACAAGCCACCAUAUCAUAACAAAGAUAGCCCUUUUGAUGGUUGGAGUAACCCAUAAAGGUGCAACACACCAUUUUUUAUGUCAAUUUCAUACGUUCAUGGCGAGGGACCAAUAUAAAAUAGGUGCACCUGAAAGUCCAUAGUCGAGAAUAAGUAGGUAAUUUUCCAUAUAGAAUUGAGAAAGGUGAGUGAUUCUUCAAGGUUGUGGAGAUCUGAAAAUUAAUCAAGUGGACCACAAUAUGAACUACCUCGGGCCAAAAAGGUUGAGGAAGUUGAGAUUCCAACCGAAGAGCAUGAGUGAGCUCCAUAACAUGACGGUUCUUUCUCUCAACUUCUGUUUGAAAACUCCUGGACAAGAAUUUUGAAACAAUAUACCAUUUGACUUAUAAAGAGCAUGUAGCUUAGCAGAAGAGUACUCCCCACCAGAGUCAAAUUGAGUCUAAAUUAUUGUAACAAAUUUGUUGAUAACACGACACAAAUCAGAUUUCAACCGAAGCAUAUAAACCCAAGUAAAACAAGAUGCAUGAUCAAUGAGAAGUGCAAAGUACCAGAACCCCAAUCGAGAAGUUGUGGGAGAGGGCCCCCAAACAUCUGUAUGAUCCAAGUCAAAUGGUUGGUAAACUCGAGUGGUACUAGCCAAAAAAGAUAAUUUUGCAGUUUUAGCUCCAAUACAGUGAAUACAGGAAGUAACUGAAUCAUCAAUAUCCUUAAAAUUUAUAGUAGCAGGAAGCAAUUGUUGUUGAAACAUAUGUCGAAGUGUAGCCGAAUGAGGAUGCCCAAGUCUAGCAUGCCAUAUACCCCAUUCACAAAACAUCAUUAUUCAACUCUAAAACACCAUGAUGUUGCCCAAGUCCAUGCUGCUGCACACCCCCAUCUGGCGGCAACUUUUGAUCCAGUAGCGGUAUGCGUCAGUUGGACAUAAUAAAAUUUCUACCCACUUUACUUCCGUUCCCGAUCUUAUUUGCUCGUCAGAUCCUUCAUCAAACACCCAGACGGAGAAAAUGAGACUGAGUAACCAUUAUCCGUUAGUUGAUACACUCAUACGAGAUUCAGAACUAAUUGUGGAACAUGUAAAGUGUCAGGAAGCUCAAGACGAGAUGUAGACACACAACCAAUCCCACUCACAGGAAGAGUCUGACCAUUCGUGACUUGCACACCCAUGCCAUAAACAGAUUUAUAUGUUUGCAACUAGAGCGAUCACCGAUCAUGUGAUUAAACAAAGUCGAAACAAGUAACCAAGUAUUGGGCUUACCAGUCACACCAAACGAGGCAAAGGCAGAUUGAAGAGCUUCAGGGAGAACUUGAGAAAGAGUCUCCUUAACCAACUGGUUGCUAUAAGAAUUUUCGACCAUUGAAUUUCGACAAGUUGAGUGGAGUAGGAGGUAUUGUUGUGCGUAGAACCAGCAGCAAUAGCAGACACACGGUGAUAAUGUGCCCAGAUCGCUUGCAAUAAUGACAAAAAUUGCGUUGUUUGCACAACAAUUGAGGAUGGCCAAUUUUGCUGUAAUGAAGAAACUGCACUGUCCCUGUAGGAGUGGAGCCAGAAACACCAAACUGAGGAAGUUAAGAAGAUCGAGAUGGAUGGUAAGAAAAAUCAGAGCUGUAAGAGGUGCAUGCAACAGUAGCAUUAUUUGAAAUAAGUGGUUGAACAGAGAAACCCGAGUGACCACCAUUGUGCUUAUCUUAGGUGCGAAGACGAGUUUCGACGCGAAUUAAUUCGUCGAGGAUCGUAUCAAAGUCAUUUGUAUUCUUCGAAAUAAGAGAGGAGCGAGCAUCUUCAAACUCAAUACGUAGCUUCAUUAGAAAUGAACUACUCGAGCAUUACUACGCUCUUUCAACAUGGCUUCAUAAACAUCAAUAGAAAAAGAUACCAGUGGAGAUGAGGUCUUGUUCAGUCCUUAAAUUCUGAAUCACCAGAUGAAAGCUUUGAAUAUCCAAAUCCCCUUGAGUAAGUUGAGCAAGUUCAAAUUCCAACUCGAACGUGCGACACGAAUUGGCCUACGAAUACCUUUUCUUAAGGUAAGCCCAAAUAGUGGAAGCGUUGGUGUGAGUACGUAGGGUAAGAGCGAUAGUUGGUUCCAUAGAUCCCAACAACCAAGAGAAAACCUAUGCGUUGCGAGUUUCCCAAGUUAUUUUCACAAUUGCGGAAGCAUCGACCACAAGUUCGGCCGCGGUACCCUCAAGGUAGGGUAGCAGUUCUUUGUCAGCAACCAAGAACUGAAAUUGAAAGGACCAUAAUGCAUAGUUUUUACCAUUGAAUCGCAUGCUAAGAGAGUCAGAAGCAGACAGAUUCAUGAUGAGCUAGGCGGAAUAGAGAUCAGCAAUCGGAAGGAGGAGAAUCAGACGAAGAAUAGGAAAUCUAUACUUGAAACAGAAGGAUCUUCAAGGCUCUGAUACCAGGAAAACAAUUGAGAAACAAGAACACGAUAAUAAUUUAUGUGGUUUCCGAUCAAUAAGAUCGACUAGUCUACGUGAUAGAUGAGAUAUUUUAUUGAGAGAGAGCGACAUACGCAUAUAAUCGGAUUUCUUGAAUCUUAUUUCAAAGCUAACACCAUCUAUUUGUACUAAACCUGUCAUGUACAAUUACAAUUUGGUAUAGAUAAUACUAAUAGAGAGAUGAGGGAUAUGCGAGAGAAGUUAGGAGAAAUCUUCGAGCUUGAAUGGGAAAAAGAAAAAAUAAUAGCUAGGACUAGUUAUUAGUGCAUAGUGGUAUUCGGCGAGGUGGAAGACUUUGGAAGGCUGAUAAAGAUAGAUGCUGGGGGUGAUGUUGGAAUAAUGUGGUGACUUAUUUGUAAGGUUUGGAAUUUGGGUGAUGGAAUUAUAAAGUAGGAAAUUAUUAAAUUGAAAGAAAUAUUUUAUAAAUGAAAUUACAUAGAAGUAUUUCUUCUCUCCUUCUUGUUUUUGGGAAGUGGGAAUGGGUCCGGCCUUCCUUUGUUUUUAUAUUAGUAACUUGUUUUUUUUUUGCAUGAUUACAAAUGUAUACAACUUAGGCUUUAUAUUUCCUUUACAAUGAUAGGUAAGAGAAUAAUACGUUUAAUUAAUUUUAUCACAUCCAACUAAUUUGCAAGCAAUUAAUUUGAUCUUGUUGGUGGGUUGUUAGCAUGGGAGAGGUUUGUGUUGAUGAUGAAGAGAUAUGUUGGUAGUUUAGAUGUGAUGUAUUGGUGCGUGGCUUGUCUCCAUAAUUAUGGGAGAUCAAAGUAAAGUUGAAGAUCCACCUUUCAAUAGGAGAGCACUACAGACGGAUGCGACAUGUGGUUAGUUCACAAGGAAAAAGGGAAUCCCACCAACUCUAAGGUAAACGAAGAAAGUAUAUGGAUAAAGGAAGAGUUGAAAUUGGACGGAAGAUAGGAGGUGGUUACAGGCGGACAAUUUAACUACAGUUUUGCUAUAGUAUAUAGAAUAGUGUAAAACGUUGGACUUUUUCUAAUUUUAAUGACACAACAAACUUAAGAUUGUAGAACUUGGAUUUUGGUGCAACUAUUUCAAUAUAAUCUACCCAAUCCAACUUCAUGCUAAGCAAUUGUGGUUCAAUUAUCUUGGGAUACAAUAGCCUGACAGCCCCUACAUUGACAUAGAUGCAAUCGGAUAUGACCAAAUUUAUCAAAUAAGUUAUAAAUAAGAUCAUAGUGGGAAGCAUUUGGAAACUUGAAGAUCCAAAUCGACCAGGGAUGAUGAUACAUUUUAAUUUUAGAGUUUUCAGAUUGAAAGUCAUGGUUGAGCCAAACGAGUCCGAGAAAAAUGACCAUAUAUCCUGAGUACCAUGAGAUGAGGCAUAUUCCAUGACUCUACCAAACAUGUCUUUAUAUCUUGGCGUCUACGAGAGUAACUCAUCGACGAAGCUGAUCUUGCAGCUAAUAAUGGAGUGCCAAAACCUUAACCACAAACCUAACAAAACUAAAGCCAUUUCGGAAGGAAUCUCUACAAAAAUUGAGUCCAGGGAUAUGUUUCCACAUGCACCUCCACACUCGUGACAGAACAGAGGUCUAACCAACACAUUUGGUAUCGAGAAAUGAAAGUAUGUGGUGAAUGAUGAAGUCUGUAAGAUGACUUAACCUAUCCGAAAAUAUCUUCUUCUUCACGAGCCCUUUUUUAGGUUUCCCAAAGUGACAAACACAACAUUUGUUCACAACAUCUCUACCAUAAAGUAAAAAUUGUUAUCGAGUUUGAUGGAUCCCUAUAAUAUAUUUUAAAUGAAAGGAUUUGAGAUGGAAAAUCAAAGAGAUGAAUGGUUGAAACAAACAAGAAAUCAAGUGUUUCUUGAUUAAAAGAACAGAGUGAGGCCAAUGGACUCUUCCGAUGAAGAAUUGACCUUCACUUAGGGAUGAUAGUAGUUCUAAUGCAAUAGCAGUAGCUGACAGGUGGAUUGAAAAAUGAGAAAGAUAGUCUCAGAUGAAAGCUUCAACUUGCAAUUUUAGGGUUUCUACCUUUCAGGUCCUAUCGCAUGAACUCCAGAAGGACAAAAGCAGUUCGACGAAUAAUACUUUGUUUUUGAAGGAUGGUGAUACAAAUAAUUAAAAUAACUACAAAAUCUAACAAAAUUAAAAUGUGGGAUAAGUUGGGCCUACACAUCAACAUUUACCGCCGCCCCUGUGGCCCGAUCCAUACCGAUCAAAUACAAUAUAGCAAGUCAGCAACUUAUGUUGAUUAGUGGGUCUCAAUAAAUAUUAAACCUAACCUUGUUUUUUCAUGGUUAAUAACUCUGUUUAAGUUCGAUACGAAUUGUUGUAGAAAGUCGCGCAACGAGAUCAACAUCUUUUGUGACAAAAGAAACCUAAAAAAUCACCCAAAAAUUCUUGUUCUUCUACUAUGACGGAGACUCUGGUGCAUUAGAGCACUGGUACACUUGCCACAUGGCAUUUGUUCAUUAGUCGGCUAUAAAAUAUUAAAACAUGUUAGGCCAACACCCAAAUUUACCCCAAAUCACAAUUAGGUCACUCAAUAAAUAAAACAUUUGGACAAGGUUUCUCCAUCCACUUUAAUAGAUUGUUUGUUUUUAAUUGUUAAUAAGCCACCUCCGACUGGUGAUUGUUGGUCGUCGACCGAUAAGGCAGCCGUAGCCGAGGGCAAUGCCAGACAGCAAAAUUCUGUGCCAGACAGCAAAAUUCUGGUUAAUGAUUCAGGGGACAAGGGAAGGAGCCCGAUUGUUCGUCGUCGAACGAUAGGGCAGCCGUCGCCGAGUUCAACAUCGGACAUACAAAUUCUGGUUAAUGAUUCAAGGACAGGGGAAGGAGGCCGAUUGUUGGUCUUCGACUGACAAGGAAGCUGUCACCGAGGUCAAUUCGCCGAACAAGCAGGGGUCAACCAUCACCGGAGGUAACCGUUCGUCCUUUGCUACUCGCUUUGAUUCCAAGAUCGAUAGCUUUGAUUCCGCAAUCGAGGACAUAGGGACAAUAAGGUGGUGACGGAGGAAGUCGGACGGUUAAAGAAGGAACAAUGAUAUUGAGAGUUGUGACAAACUCAAGGAACACGAGGCACGUUAAAUAAUUAGAUGGGGUUUUUAAAAAAUUAAUUAAUUGGAGUUGGAGAAGACGAAUAUCAGAAUAUUAGAUGGGGUUUUAAAAAUAAUAAUUAAUUGGACAAACCGUUAAAUAAGAUGGAAGUGUGAGUUGCUCAAUAUUAAAGUGUUCAACCUUAAUAUUUGCAUCAUUAAAUUAAUAGAAGUGAAUCAUACGUUGUCACGUGUAUGUGUAUCCGGUGCACUAACGCAUCAGAGUCCUUUCCUUCAAAUUAUAUAUUAGUUGUGUAUGGAAAUAUUUGAGUAUAUCCGCCCUAAAGUUCAUUUCUUAACUUUUAACAUAAAUUUUAUAGCCACUUGAGUAAGUUUGAGAAUUAUCUCAUUUAGUAAUUUUAAAUCCCCGACAAUCCUAAAUACUGAGACUUGUAUUCCAAUGGCUUGUACUGCGACCUUGACCAUCUCUUGGACUCAAAUCGAUAUUUUGAAUUUUGGACAAUGACUAAAAAUGAAAAUUUACUGAUGAUGAUAUCUUCUUUGACCAGGUGCUGAAGCAUUUGGUGCUGAAGCCCAUGUGAACUGUCGGGUGGUGUUGGAGCCCACCAAUCCGAAGGCCAUUAUACUCUCACAAAACGGGAUAGUUCCGUCUUUCUCCCGUCUGCGUUUUUCAUGCAGAUUUGACUUGUCCUUUAAUAAUUUUAAAUGAGCAGAGAGACAUCUGCACACUCUCUUUCUUACUUUUUAUUAAAUCAAACAAUUAAACUCAAUUAUUUUAUUUGAAAUCUAUUUUUACUAAUUUUUGCACCAAAAUUCUUAUUCUUCAAAGACGAGUCUAACAAGAUCGGUCUUGAUGAUUUUUGAAGUAAAAAAUGAAUUAAUAGUUUUCUACUUCUUAUUCAUGAGAAAGUUUGUAUUUAUACAUACGAAAGUCGUUAUCCAUACGUUUGUAUUUAUGAAAAGUAUGAACACAUAUAUGUAAGAGUUUUUGUUAAUCAUAUGAAAGUUUGUAUUAUUCAUAUCAAUGCAUCGAUGAAAUGUACAAAUGUAUCGUGUUAAUCAUAUUAACGUUCGUAUUUAUGUAUAUGAAAGUAUUGAUGAAUUAAAAAAAUUUAUGGAUCAUAUGAAAAUAUUGAUGGAAUGUACAAACAUAUAGAUUGUAUGAUACUAAAGUUGGUAUUAUCCAUACGAAUGUUCAUGUUCUUCAUUGUCUUGAUGAUUUCAUAUGUUAUUUGUUUUAUUCUUUUUUUUGUUUUUUUUUUUUUGAUGUGAACACAAUAAACCGGAAAAACACGAAAAACAUGAAGAAUCCGAAAAACACGAAGAACCCGAAAAACACGAAGAACACGAAAAUACGAAGAACAAAAAAUAAAAAGAGAGCUAACCUACCUUUUCAAAAUUUGCACUCUUCUACUGUUUCUUCUUGUAGAGAUCCGUGAAAACGAACCCAAAUCGAUCAUCCAUCAAAGAAAUCAAGCGAGAAAAGCGAGUACAACCAAAAUCAUAAAAACUUGAAGAACAAGAGCAAAAAUGGAGAUUACCUACGCUUUCGAGAUUUGUUUACACUCUUCUAGUGUUUUUGUGCAAAGAUCCAUCUGGAUAGUGCGAAGAUCCAUCUUGAAGAACAAAAAUCGAAUCCAUAUGUAGCACUCAUUCAAAAAAAUUA